UGAUACACACUCCUACUACCAGGAUCAUGUUGAGUUAAAGCCUGUAAAACCUGUCGAAAUAAGUAAUGACAUUGACUCGGAAAUGCGGCUGCUGAACUUGACCUAGGGAGUGAAGCAUCAUUGACAGCCCCUCGGUGGAUCCAACGUGACUCACAUUCCUUCCAGAGGUUGGACUGUGCCUCCCCGCUUUCCCACGAAUCACGGAGUUCUUCGAUCACAACCUAUGUGUUAUUAGCAUUGUUUGCUAGAUGAGUUCUAGGUGCUUGGGUGGGUAAUUUUUUUAGUAAUUUUCUUCUUAUAUGAACACUUGUAAAUUGUAAAAAAAAAUGGUUUUUAAUUUUUUUAACAACAUUUAAUGUGAGGCAUGCAAAAUGAAGAAAAAGAAUCUGUGAAAACUUCCUACAGUCAAUUCUAAGAGAAAUAUCAUUGUGUAUUUUUGAGAUGUUAAGUCAGUACUGCUGACUGCUGAAGCUAUCCUAGGCUUGAUGAAUUUGCAUUAGCAGACAUUACCUGUGGUUAUCAGACAGACACAAAGGUAGACCCUGUGACAGCUGAUAAAAGGGUAUAAAUAAUGAAUCCAGUCUUCUGACUGAAUAUGGGUCAUUUUUUUCAAAACCAUAAAACAAAACGUGGAGUC